UACGAACCGUCCAAACGUUACUCGGAAUUACUGGGCGUAAAGGGCGCGUAGGCGGCCUGUUAAGUCGAACGUGAAAUCCCCGGGCUCAACCCGGGAACUGCGUCCGAUACUGGCAGGCUUGAAUCCGGGAGAGGGAUGCGGAAUUCCAGGUGUAGCGGUGAAAUGCGUAGAUAUCUGGAGGAACACCGGUGGCGAAGGCGGCAUCCUGGACCGGCAUUGACGCUGAGGCGCGAAAGCGUGGGGAGCGAACAGG
rnacentral:rRNA from 1 species